UACGGAGGGUGCAAGCGUUAUCCGGAUUCACUGGGUUUAAAGGGUGCGUAGGAGGGCAGGUAAGUCAGUGGUGAAAUCUCCGAGCUUAACUUGGAAACUGCCGUUGAUACUAUCUGUCUUGAAUAUUGUGGAGGUGAGCGGAAUAUGUCAUGUAGCGGUGAAAUGCUUAGAUAUGACAUAGAACACCCAUUGCGAAGGCAGCUAACUACGCGAUCAUUGACGCUGAUGCACGAAAGCGUGGGGAUCAAACAGG
rnacentral:rRNA from 1 species